rnacentral:lncRNA from 1 species
UCCAAAUUAAUAAAAAUUAUUUUAAAUUAAAUAGUCAUUUAAUUUAUAGACUGAAAAUAAAUUUAAAUUAAUUUUUCAGCCCAAAAUGACUUUCUUGAAACUUCUAAAAACGUUUUAGGUACCAAAUCGUAAUUUAGCAAACUCAUCUUCUUCCCUUAGAGGAAGUCUGGGCGUCGUAUGAAGUUUCUGCUGUGCCAUUGACCAGUCCAGCCACCGGAGGGACGCACAACACUUGCGCUCCUGCCGGUGGCCUGUCAGCUGCAAUCGCGCGCAAGAUUGACGGCAUCGCAAAGGAAGCCGCGAUCUACCGCAAUGUACAGUAGCUUCAUCCCGCAACGUCGUAACAAUCGCUAUCCUUCAGCUCCCGUCACUGUUCGUCGACCCGCAGAUAGCGCAACGGUUGCGCAUCCGCUGCCAACCAAAGCAGCGCCGGAAACUCCUUCGUCUUCUUCGUUGACGAGAAUCGAGACGGAGAAUGAUUUCUGCUCUCGGUUCCACCGGCAAUGAAAAUGACCAGCGCCUCGGUUCCAGCUUUCCUGCGAUGUCGAGGAUGCCCAGCGCCUAUCUCAGUAGCCAUAGAUGUUGCAGCUGCACACGGCACGCGUGCAUCGCUGGUCGCAGGGAUGCGACGCCCAUCGUCGGACCAUCGAGCUGUCGUCCGGCAUUCCAGCAGCUGCAGAUCGUGUUCUAGGAUUUCCGAAAAUCGAUGAUUUCUAUGUUUUUAAUAAAAA